GACGUAGGGCGCAAGCGUUGUCCGGAUUUAUUGGGCGUAAAGAGCUCGUAGGCGGUUCAUUGCGUCAAUCGUGAAAUCCUGUGGCUCAACUACAGGCUUGCGGUUGAUACGGGUGGGCUGGAGUUCGGUAGGGGAGACUGGAAUUCCUGGUGUAGCGGUGAAAUGCGCAGAUAUCAGGAGGAACACCCAUGGCGAAGGCGGCU
rnacentral:rRNA from 1 species